rnacentral:rRNA from 1 species
UACGUAGGUGGCAAGCGUUGUCCGGAUUUACUGGGUGUAAAGGGCGCGUAGGCGGGAUAGCAAGUCAGAUGUGAAAUCUAUGGGCUUAACCCAUAAACUGCAUUUGAAACUGUUGUUCUUGAGUGAUGGAGAGGCAGGCGGAAUUCCUAGUGUAGCGGUGAAAUGCGUAGAUAUCGGAAGGAACACCAGUGGCGAAAGCGGCUUCCUGGUCCGACACCGACGUUCAGGCACGAAAGCGUGGGGAGCAAACAGG